UUAAAAAUUAGAACAGAUGAACUACAGUUAUAUUUGGACGCUUAAGCUGUAGGGAUGUAGUGGCGUAACCGGCUAACAAUAGU
rfam:Clostridium aceticum strain DSM 1496, complete genome.